GAUGAACGCUGACAGAAUGCUUAACACAUGCAAGUCGAUUCGAUUUACCUUCGGGUAUUGAGGAUGGCGGACGGGUGAGUAACGCGUAAGGAACUUGCCUCUUGGUCUGGGACAACUGUUGGAAACGACAGCUAAUACCGGAUAUUAUGAGAUUCUCGCAUGGGAAACUUAUGAAAGCUAUAUGCGCCAAGAGAGAGCCUUGCGUUCCAUUAGCUAGUUGGUGGGGUAACGGCCCACCAAGGCGACGAUGGAUAGCCGGCCUGAGAGGGUGAACGGCCACAAGGGGACUGAGACACGGCCCUUACUCCUACGGGAGGCAGCAGUGGGGAAUAUUGGACAAUGGGCCACAAGCCUGAUCCAGCAAUUCUGUGUGCACGAUGAAGGUCUUCGGAUUGUAAAGUGCUUUCAGUUGGGAAGAAGAAAGUGACGGUACCAACAGAAGAAGCGACGGCUAAAUACGUGCCAGCAGCCGCGGUAAUACGUAUGUCGCAAGCGUUAUCCGGAUUUAUUGGGCGUAAAGCGCGUCUAGGCGGAAAAAUAAGUCUGAUGUUAAAAUGCGGGGCUCAACUCCGUAUUGCGUUGGAAACUGUUUUUCUAGAGUACUGGAGAGGUGGGCGGAACUACNAGUGUAGAGGUGAAAUUCGUAGAUAUUUGUAGGAAUGCC
rnacentral:rRNA from 1 species